GCGGGUGUCGUACAACGGCUAGUACAUCAGCCUUCCAAGCUGGGGACGAGGGUUCGACUCCCUUCACCCGCUCCA
rnacentral:tRNA from 4 species